GCGCAGCAGUCGAGAAUCUUCCACAAUGGACGAAAGUCUGAUGGAGCGACGCCGCGUGCGGGAUGAAGGCCUUAUGGGUUGUAAACCGCUGUCAGGGGGGAAGAACAUCGGAAUGAACAAUACUCAUUCCGACUGACGUUACCCCCAGAGGAAGCUCCGGCCAACUCCGUGCCAGCAGCCGCGGUAAUACGGGGGGAGCAAGCGUUGUCCGGAAUUAUUGGGCGUAAAGGGCGUGUAGGCGGCGAGGUAAGUCGAAUGUGAAAUCUCACGGCUCAACCGUGAAACUGCGUUCGAAACUCCCUGCUUGAGUACGGGAGAGGUGU
rnacentral:rRNA from 1 species